GUGCUUACUUCGAAGCACAUAUACUAAAAUUGGAAUGAUAUAGAGAUUAGCAUGGCCCCUGCACAAGGAUGACAUGCAUAUUUGUGAAGAAAGUGACAAAAAA